GGCUCUUCACUGCUCUGGGUCCUCACGUUAGC
rnacentral:piRNA from 1 species